GAUGAACGCUGGCGGCGUGCCUAAUACAUGCAAGUCGAGCGAACGGACGAGAAGAUUGCUUCUCUAAUGUUAGCGGCGGACGGGUGAGUAACACGUGGAUAACCUACCUAUAAGACUGGGAUAACUUCGGGAAACCGUAGCUAAUACCGGAUAAUAUUUUGAACCGCAUGGUUCAAAAGUGAAAGACGGUCUUGCUGUCACUUAUAGAUGGAUCCGCGCUGCAUUAGCUAGUUGGUAAGGUAACGGCUUACCAAGGCAACGAUGCAUAGCCGACCUGAGAGGGUGAUCGGCCACACUAGAACUGAGACACGGUCCAGACUCCUACGGGAGGCAGCAGUAGGGAAUCUUCCGCAAUGGGCGAAAGCCUGACGGAGCAACGCCGCGUGAGUGAUGAAGGUCUUCGGAUCGUAAAACGCUGUUAUUAGGGAAGAACAUAUGUGUAAGUAACUGUGCACAUCUUGACGGUACCUAAUCAGAAAGCCACGGCUAACUACGUG
rnacentral:rRNA from 1 species